rnacentral:rRNA from 1 species
CGCUUCGGCGUGUGACUGCGUACCUUUUGUAUAAUGGGUCAGCGACUUAUAUUCUGUAGCAAGGUUAACCGAAUAGGGGAGCCGAAGGGAAACCGAGUCUUAACUGGGCGUUAAGUUGCAGGGUAUAGACCCGAAACCCGGUGAUCUAGCCAUGGGCAGGUUGAAGGUUGGGUAACACUAACUGGAGGACCGAACCGACUAAUGUUGAAAAAUUAGCGGAUGACUUGUGGCUGGGGGUGAAAGGCCAAUCAAACCGGGAGAUAGCUGGUUCUCCCCGAAAGCUAUUUAGGUAGCGCCUCGUGAAUUCAUCUCCGGGGGUAGAGCACUGUUUCGGCAAGGGGGUCAUCCCGACUUACCAACCCGAUGCAAACUGCGAAUACCGGAGAAUGUUAUCACGGGAGACACACGGCGGGUGCUAACGUCCGUCGUGAAGAGGGAAACAACCCAGACCGCCAGCUAAGGUCCCAAAGUCAUGGUUAAGUGGGAAACGAUGUGGGAAGGCCCAGACAGCCAGGAUGUUGGCUUAGAAGCAGCCAUCAUUUAAAGAAAGCGUAAUAGCUCACUGGUCGAGUCGGCCUGCGCGGAAGAUGUAACGGGGCUAAACCAUGCACCGAAGCUGCGGCAGCGACACUAUGUGUUGUUGGGUAGGGGAGCGUUCUGUAAGCCUGUGAAGGUGUGCUGUGAGGCAUGCUGGAGGUAUCAGAAGUGCGAAUGCUGACAUAAGUAACGAUAAAGCGGGUGAAAAGCCCGCUCGCCGGAAGACCAAGGGUUCCUGUCCAACGUUAAUCGGGGCAGGGUGAGUCGACCCCUAAGGCGAGGCCGAAAGGCGUAGUCGAUGGGAAACAGGUUAAUAUUCCUGUACUUGGUGUUACUGCGAAGGGGGGACGGAGAAGGCUAUGUUGGCCGGGCGACGGUUGUCCCGGUUUAAGCGUGUAGGCUGG